CAGUCGUACCGACGGAAAAUCAGCUCUUCGAGUGCGAACUUGUGGGCGUACGUGAGCUUUAACCGGCCUCGUUGUUUGCGAUGUUUGUGCUUUUUGGGUGUACUUUUUCGUAUGGUAGGCCAACGUCAGUCUCGGUCACCAUAAAAUGGUCAGAGGAAUGUAGCUUCGAUCUUGUAUUGAAGUGUUAUAGCCUUCGGUAGAUGUGGUGAUCGAGAUUGAGGAUUGCAACGGGAUACCCUUCGGGGCUACCUGUCUGGUCUCUGAUCGUUGCUCUGGUGCCGAAAGCUUGCUUACGGUUAUCAAAGUCGAUGGUCAAUAGGUUAGAACGGGUUAAAUUCGUUAAGGAUGUUGACGUAAUGGCUUUAAACGACCCGUCUUGAAACACGGACCAAGGAGUCUAACAUAUAUGCGAGUGUU
rnacentral:rRNA from 1 species